UAGGCUUGGGGUUAAGACCAAAUUGCUAGGAGCCCAAAGAAAUGUCUUUCUAUGAUCUGCUGGCCAUUUUAGAACUUAGGAAGUGUAAUGGUCAACAAAUUAGAAAGAAGCAUCU
rfam:Myotis davidii contig16824, whole genome shotgun sequence.